rnacentral:ncRNA from 1 species
GAGGGCCGGGUGCGUAACGAAAGGCGCAUGCCCGGUUCGGGGAGAGGCGGGGAGAAACCGGCCGUUGCAAGACGGCACGGCGCUCACCGCCUACUCUAC